rnacentral:rRNA from 1 species
GAUGAACGCUGGCGGCGUGCCUAAUACAUGCAAGUCGAGCGAACAGACGAGGAGCUUGCUCCUCUGACGUUAGCGGCGGACGGGUGAGUAACACGUGGAUAACCUACCUAUAAGACUGGGAUAACUUCGGGAAACCGGAGCUAAUACCGGAUAAUAUAUUGAACCGCAUGGUUCAAUAGUGAAAGACGGUUUUGCUGUCACUUAUAGAUGGAUCCGCGCCGCAUUAGCUAGUUGGUAAGGUAACGGCUUACCAAGGCAACGAUGCGUAGCCGACCUGAGAGGGUGAACGGCCACACUGGAACUGAGACACGGUCCAGACUCCUACGGGAGGCAGCAGUAGGGAAUCUUCCGCAAUGGGCGAAAGCCUGACGGAGCAAGGCCGCGUGAGUGAUGAAGGUCUUCGGAUCGUAAAACUCUGUUAUUAGGGAAGAACAAAUGUGUAAGUAACUAUGCACGUCUUGACGGUACCUAAUCAGAAAGCCACGGCUAACUACGUG